AUUGAACGCUGGCGGCAUGCCUUACACAUGCAAGUCGAACGGCAGCGGGGGAGAAGCUUGCUUUUCCUGCCGGCGAGUGGCGAACGGGUGAGUAAUACAUCGGAACGUGCCCUGUAGUGGGGGAUAACUAGUCGAAAGAUUAGCUAAUACCGCAUACGACCUGAGGGUGAAAGUGGGGGACCGCAAGGCCUCAUGCUAUAGGAGCGGCCGAUGUCUGAUUAGCUAGUUGGUGGGGUAAAGGCCUACCAAGGCGACGAUCAGUAGCUGGUCUGAGGGGACGAUCAGCCACACUGGGACUGAGACACGGCCCAGACUCCUACGGGAGGCAGCAGUGGGGAUUAUUGGACAAUGGGGGCAACCCUGAUCCAGCAAUGCCGCGUGGGUGAAGAAGGCCUUCGGGUUGUAAAGCCCUUUUGUACGGGAAGAAAAGCUUCGGAUUAAUACUUCGAGGUCAUGACGGUACCGUAAGAAUAAGCACCGGCUAACUUCGUGCCAGCAGCCGCCGUAA
rnacentral:rRNA from 1 species